AAUAGGCUCUCGGCCCCGCCCCGCCCGUUCCUGCUUCCGCCAUCGCUGCGCCGCGUCCGCUUUGCCCUGCAAUUUUCCCAGUGCCGGUUUCUAGUGCUCGCUGUCCAACUUCAGGGUAUUUUUGCUCUCGCUCAGAGUUCAGACGUCCACCCCGGCCAUUUAGUCCCGUGGUCACAAGGAGCAGUUGCUGUGUUAGGACUCAGUGGAUGAUGAAACUCACCAGAGACCACAUAGCUAGAGAAUGGCCAGACUCAGUUUUGAAUCUAAGCAAUCUUGACUCCAGAGCCCUCCAGCUUAAAGUCUCUGGCGAUAUCCCAAACAGAAGCUUCAGUGUCAGCCUGGGUUCAAAAAUAAAGAUGAAAUGGGGUUGAGCCACAGCCAACCCAGACUGCACAUGUAGCAUGAGCUGCACCUUUGUUAUCUGCUGCUGAUUUGGGGGCUGCUUGCUGCAGAACAUAACCUUCCUUCCCUGACUGGACUUGAGUCCUAGCUUAGCCAUUUCUUUGCUACAUGAACUUGGGAGAGAAAAGGUCUGUUCUGCGGGCUGUGUUUUUCAACCAGUGAUUCAGGAGUACUGAUACACUUGCUCUGUUUUGAGCUGCACUCACAUUUCUGCUGGGAGGCAACAACAAGGAAAACACAGGUUCCUGACUUCAUUCAACCGAGGAGGGCAACCAUUUCUGCGAUGCCACUGACACGAGGCUCCACAAGUUCAGGGGUUUGUCGUUCACCCCUGUGUCCCCGUGCCCAACACAGGGCUUGGCACACGAUCCUGUGCGCAGUGCAGCCGACAUGGCUGGCCGCCACCCAUUGUCUUCCGAAAGGUAGAGAUGUUCCUGGGAAGGAGCUACCUGGCCAGAGACUACAAUUCCCAGCCCCCCUUGCAGCAAGUUGAAGCCAAGUGGCUGAGUUCUUCCAAAUGGGCCAUGAGAAGAGGGAUGCACUCUACUUCCAGAUGUGGUGCAUUACACCUUCUGCACUCUCAUCUUCCGCCUCAGUUGGCUGGCUGUUGAUGCCCUGGGCCCCUCAAUGACUCCUGCCUUUAUCCUCCUUUCUCCCACCAUUGGCCUCUCUGUAAGCAAGAAAUAAAAGUAUUUUGUGUGGUGCCAUUGUGAACGUG